CCUACGGGAGGCAGCAGUGGGGAAUAUUGGGCAAUGGGCGCAAGCCUGACCCAGCAACGCCGCGUGAAGGAAGAAGGCUUUCGGGUUGUAAACUUCUUUUCUCAGGGACGAAGCAAGUGACGGUACCUGAGGAAUAAGCCACGGCUAACUACGUGCCAGCAGCCGCGGUAAUACGUAGGUGGCAAGCGUUAUCCGGAUUUACUGGGUGUAAAGGGAGUGUAGGCGGGAAAGCAAGUCAGAUGUGAAAACCAUGGGCUCAACCUGUGGCCUGCAUUUGAAACUGUUUUUCUUGAGUACUGGAGAGGCAGACGGAAUUCCUAGUGUAGCGGUGAAAUGCGUAGAUAUUAGGAGGAACACCAGUGGCGAAGGCGGUCUGCUGGACAGCAACUGACGCUGAGGCGCGAAAGCGUGGGGAGCAAACAGGAUUAGAUACCCGAGUAGGC
rnacentral:rRNA from 1 species